rnacentral:ncRNA from 1 species
UUAUUUUCAGGGCAGGGUGAAAUUCCCGACCGGCGGUAAAGUCCGCGAGCGUAAUGCAUGAAUUGGUGAAAUUCCAAUACCGAUAGUAAAGUCUAGAUGAAAGAAAAUA